AAUACGCUUUUGCCUUCCAUUCAGCACGGCUCAGACGGAGGCUGUAGGAGCUAGUGUGUGCCUGCGGCUUGCAGGACCCUGGGUCUUUUGAGGUGAGAUCCCAGCCAUGCUGGACUUCUACACAAUUGCGAUAGGGCUCCUGAUCCUUCUGCUCCUCCUGGGGAAUGUUUUCUUCCCCUACCUUUGGCUGGACUUGGUUUUCUUCUUCACCGUCCUUCGAACAGGAUACAAAUGCCACAGGUGUCUCAGCCGCAAACCUCCCAUCACCUUACUGGACUUCUUCUUGGCCAAAGUCCAGAAGCACCCAGAGAAGCCCCUGGUCCUCUUUGGAGACGAAACGUAUUCCUACCGAGAUAUCGACAGGCGCAGCAGUCAGCUGGCCAGAGUGCUCCGGGACCACGUGGGGCUGGAAGAAGGAGAAACGGUGGCUGUUUUCCUCAAGAACGUCCCUGCCUAUCUCUGGGUCUGGAUGGGACUGGAGAAGAUUGGCAGUGUCAUGGCGUGUAUCAACUAUAACAUCCGAGCCAAGUCUCUCUUGCAUGCCCUCAGCUCCUGCAAGACCACAGUGCUACUGACAACUCCAGGUGAGUUAAAAAGGUGAGAGAAAUCUAGAGAAAUCUUAGUCCAAAGAGGAGUUAGACAAGGAUGCCUAUUAGCCCCAUUCCUAUUUAAUAUCUAUGUUAACUCCCUGGUUACAUGCUGCCGUGAAAUUGAAACCCACCCCCCUGUGUUCUCUAAUGGCAGAAAAGUACCAAUUUUAAUGUAUGCGGAUGACGCUGUUCUUCUCUCUCAAACCAAAGUGGGUCUGAAACGUGCCUUAGGAAAGUUUAGUGACCAAUGUAACACUGAACUGUUAACAAUUAACUUUGCCAAAACCAAAAUUGUACAUUUUAACCGCUCCUUUAGGAAGGAUAAUUGGAGCGUAAAGGGAACGCCAUUGAACAGACUAAGACCUUCCAAUACUUAGGCAUUACUUUCUCUUAUAAUGCCAAAUUCUCAACACACUUGACCACAUCAGCUAUAUCAGCAGAAAGAAGUGCAAAUGCUAUCCUUAGAUUAUUCAGAAGGAAAGGAGCUGGCUUCCUCCCGAUGGCCCUAACAGUCUUUCAGGCAAAAUCUUUAGCCCAACUUCUAUAUGGCUCUCAAAUUAGCCCCUCUGCCAACCUUAAGACCUUUGAAACAGUACAAUCUAAAUUCUUAAGAUCAUUAUUUGCUACUCCUAAGUGUACACCUAAUGCAGUCUUAAGGCAAGAGGCAGGACUGCCCAGAGUGGAAUUAAAAGUCUGGGAACAAGCAAUAUCCCUCUGGCUGAAAAUCCAUUACAAUCCUAAGGGUCUAUUACCUUGCUUCCUGGCCGCAGUUCCCUAUCCUCCUUGGCUUUUGCAAAUAACUAACAAGAUCAAACAAAUUGGCCUAAACCCUGAAAAUAUUUUUAUUGGAACUCUGAACAAGGCAAAAACUACUAUCACUCGGAGACUUUAUGAUAUCGAAUUACAACAAGAAGGCGCCCUACUCCCAGAGACGUAUAGAUGUUUAAAAGCUUGGCCUAAUUUUGCAGCUGCCCCUUACUUAACUAACAUCACUAACGAAACCUAUAGAUGGGCUUUCUCUAGAGCCCGCUUUGAGACAAUGCCCUCAGCAGUGCUGUACGGCAAAUUCACGCGAGUUCCAAUGCAUGCGCGUCUCUGCCCUUGUAUGUCUAAUAAGGUAGAAUCUGUCACACACAUUCUUCUAUCUUGCGAAUUCUAUAGUGAAGAACGAGUUCAACUUAUUUUACCACUUCUAUCAAAAUUUAUACCCCUUCAAUAUUAUUUGGAAUCCUCCCCUGAAAUUCUUCGAAAAUACCUCCUGGAAGAUUCCUCAAGCUCAGUAUCAUAUGAGGUGGCUAAAUUUUGCACUUUAGUAAUUAAGAAGCGUAAAUCUCUUCUGUUGAAUGGCACACUGGGAAGUUCUCUUGUGUAACCUUUUUUCUUUUUUAAAGUUGUUGCUGUUUUCUGGUUGUCUGAUCUUAUGGUGUUUAGUGUCACUGGCUUCGGCCGCAAUAAACUUGAACUUGAGAACUUGAGAAAAGGUGAAGGUAAAGGUAAAGGUACCCCUUGUGCAUUUACACCCAAGGGGGCAACUGAAAGCCUGUUUGGGCUGCACUUGUCAGGCCAUAUAGUCACACUGGAAAGAAUAUUGGGGAAUUCUCUUUAACUGUCCCCCCCCCCCGUUUUAAAAGAGGUUUCAAAUGUCUUUUUCCAUACCUGACAAAAUAGCACAAUCUCUGUGUUGUCUGAGCUCCUCUGCACCUGAGCAGUUUCAGACUUUCCAAGGGAAGAAAACAACAUUUAAAGGAGGGGAGAUCUGAGACAGUGAUGUCAAUCAGAUGCCCUGACAUUAAUGAGGAGACAGGCUGGCGCAAAUCCACAUUGUGGACAAGCGCUUGAACUUUGACUACUGAUCUCCACUCAGGUGCUUUAGCAAGUCUGAUCAGCAGAGUUAAUGCCCAGCAGAGUUCUAAAUGCAGGCAUCCCUCAGAGUUCGGCUUCUCCAAGGGAAAAGAGAAGGGGGAUUCUGGGUUGUACCUAACACAAAUGCAAAGCUUGAUUGGGAAAAUGGCAUAUUUGUUUAAGUGGUCAUUCGUUUAAGUGGAUCUACUCUGAGUAUGGCUUACUUUGAGAUCACACCCUUUGUUGAUGAAUCCACUGUCUUAUUAGCCAGUGGCCAGCUCUGGACACCUUCCCCUCCCCAGAUCAAGGUUUUGGGAUUUAGUUACUUCGCUGUAGUUUGGAGAAUGCAGGAUCUUUGCCUGUUCAAGUGAGGCAUUGCUCUUGAUGCAAACUUUCAGUUGCUAUUGGCUAAUAGUUUUACCUUUCCCUGACUGUGGCAUGGCUUCCAUUACCUUUUUUUUUUUUAUUAAAGGAAAAGCUUUACUUUAAAAGCCAUUUUCUUCCUCCUUGAAGCACUGUUUGGCAUUUUGGCACAUGGAUAACAGAACGUCCAAGUGUCCCUAUUUUCCAGGGACAGUCCUGGAUUUACAGAAGCCAUCCUGGUUUCUGAUUUGAUCCUGGAAUAUCCCGCUUUCUCUUAUGACGUUCCUAUUUUCAUCGGAGGAAUAUGGAAUGUUGGAGGAUAUGGAAUAGGAUGUCCCUAUUUUCAUCGGAAAAAUGUUGGCGGGUAUGGGAUAAUAAAUCUCUUAAGUUGAAAAGAAAUCAAUUUUUCUCAGCUAUUAGAAGUAACAAUCUUUCUUUGAGCAUGGGUGUAUGAGAGAAAUUAGGCAGAGUGCAAAGGGAAAAGAGCUGGAGAAAGCAUUCCUUGAGUAAGUAGUCAUUAUUUCAGUUGCUUUAGCCCUAAAAGAAAGCAAAGCAUCUCUGAGUCUUCACCACGCAGGGUGUGUGUUUUCCUUGUUGAACUGCCUUCAGUGUGACCUCCCAAAAACGGGUUAGUUUAGUAAAGCAGUGUUCCAAGAAGAAAAUAACAGCAAUAGCUGCUGAUGUUUGAGGGAAGGAAAGGAGGGAAGAGAGAACGAAUGGAUAUCCAGCAGGAGUAAUAUUACAUUAUCGACUCCAGUGGUUUCUGUGAUGACAUCAGUGUAACUGGCCAGUCAAAAUUGAGGGUGCUUUGCCAUUCCCACCUGAAUUGCCCCUUUGCAACAACAACUAGGCAAGCUGUGUCAGUGUUAUUAUGGAUUGAUUUGAUUUCUCACCUGCCUUUCCCCACAAAGGGCCAAAGCGGGUUAUAAUAAAAUAUGCCAUUAUGCAACAAAUAAAAAAUGAAGGUUAAAAAAUAAAGAAAUUACGAAACAUUCCAUAUCUAAAAAACAGUACAAACGUUAAAGAACCAUUUCAGGGGGGAGAGGGAACCCACAAUUUAAAUCGAUCCAAUACGGAUGCAGGCUGGGAUAAUUUGGAAGGCUUCUAGAAAGAGGAAGGUCUUCAUUUGGCACCGAUAAGACAACAAAGACCUGCCUGUCUAAUAUGUAACAAGAAGAAAGUCCAAAUGAUAGGGUAUCACACUUUUUUUCCGGAAUAAAAUGGUAUCUUACAAAUGAUGCCUGGAUGUCAAGAGUGUCUGACUCUUCCCAGGUCAAUGAAUCUGGACCAGGUGAGAUUUUAAUCCAUGGCACCAGAGCCAAAGUAAACACUCUUGUGUACAAACAAUUUUUUCUCUGAAGCAGAGAGGAAGAGACUCUCCCCCUUUAGACCAGCACACUAAUCCUGACUCAACAUCAAUAGCUUGAUAACAAGGGAGGCAGGGAGAGUGCAUGGGGGCGGGAAGGGGUAGCUGGUUCCCUCUGUUUUAAGGAAUCCUAGUCAUGAUGCCUAUGUUCUCCUUCUUACUGUCGGAGGCAGUCGGCCUCUGCUAGGAAUCACAAGUGAGGAGACUGCCAUUGUGUUCAGGUCCUUCUUCUUGAGCUUUAGCUGGCCACCGAGACAGCAGGACACUGGGCCAAAUUGGCUAUUGGCCUGACCCAAUAGGACAGCCAGCAUGGUGUAGUGGUUAGAGUGCCGGACUAAGGCCUGGGAAACCAGAGUUCAAGUCCCCACUCCACCAUGAAGCUCACUGAGCGACCUUGAGCCAGUCACUGCCUCUCAGCCUGACUUACCUUACAGGUUUGCUUGGGGGAUUAAAUGAGGAAAGGGGAAGAAACCCGUACACCACCUGGAACUCUUUGGAGUAAAGGUGGGAUAUGAAAGCAGC
rnacentral:lncRNA from 1 species